AGCGAACGCUGGCGGCGCGCUUAACACAUGCAAGUCGAACGAGAAGGCGUAGCAAUACGCUUGUACAGUGGCGAACGGGUGAGUAAUACGUGGGCGACCUACCCUCGAGUGGGGAAUAACCCGCCGAAAGGCGGGCUAAUGCCGCGUACGCUUCCAUCUUUAUGGAGGUGGAAGGAAAGCCGUGCCGUGGGCACGGCGCUCAAGGAUGGGCUCACGUCCUAUCAGCUUGUUGGAGGGUAACGGCCUACCAAGGCUCCGACGGGUAGCUGGUCUGAGAGGACGAUCAGCCACACUGGCACUGCGACACGGGCCAGACUCCUACGGGAGGCAGCAGUGAGGAAUAUUGCGCAAUGGGCGAAAGCCUGACGCAGCGACGCCGCGUGGGGGAUGAAGGUCUUCGGAUUGUAAACCCCUUUCGGGAGGGAGAUGGGACGGGCACCGUUCGGACGGUACCUCCAGAAGCAGCCACGGCUAACUUCGUGCCAGCCGCCGCGGUAA
rnacentral:rRNA from 1 species